rnacentral:rRNA from 1 species
GUCCACGCCUAACGAUGUCGAUUAGCCGUUGGAUCAAUAAAGGUCUUAGUGGCGCAGCUAACGCGAUAAUCGACCGCCUGGGAGUACGGCCGCAAGGUUAAACUCAAAGGAAUUGACGGGCCCGCACAAGCGGUGGAGCAUGUGGUUUAAUUCGAUGCAACGCGAAGAACCUUACCAGGCCUUGACAUCUAGCGAACUUUCCAGAGAUGGAUUGGUGCCUUCGGAACGCUAAGACAGGUGCUGCAUGGCUGUCGU